UCUGACAUGACUUGGAAUUCCUGUCCCCA
rnacentral:piRNA from 1 species